GACGAACGCUGGCGGCGUGCUUAACACAUGCAAGUCGAACGGGCCCGCUCUCUUUUUUGGGGGUGGGUUGAGUGGCGAACGGGUGAGUAUCACGUGAGUAACCUGCCCCCUGCUCCUGGAUAACUGCUUGAAAGGGCGGCUAAUACGGGGUGUGCCGGCUGGUCCGCAUGGGCCUGGUCGGGAUAGUUUCAUCUUCGGGUGUUUCGGUGGGGGAUGGGCUCGCGGCCUAUCAGCUUGUUGGUGGGGUGAUUGCCCACCAAGGCGGUGACGGGUAGCCGGCCUGAGAGGGUGGGCGGCCACACUGGGACUGAGACACGGCCCAGACUCCUGCGGGAGGCAGCAGUGGGGGGUAUUGCACAAUGGGCGGAAGCCUGAUGCAGCGACGGCGCGUGAGGGAUGGAGGCCUUCGGGUUGUGAACCUCUUUCUCCGGUGGUGAAGGCCCUGUCCGUUGCGGCGGGGUUGACGGUAGCCGGGUAUGAAGCGCCGGCUAACUACGUG
rnacentral:rRNA from 1 species